GUGCUCGCUUGAGCAGCAUAUAUACUAAAAUUGGAAUGACACAAAGAAGAUUAUCAUGGCCCCUGGACAAGGAUGACACGCAAAUUUAUGAAGCGUUCCAUAUUAAA